ACCUGAUUGGAGCAGUGGUUAGCUCAUUGCUCUCCGGAAUAUGCAACUUGAGAAGCAAGGGUCGCGGGUUCGAAUCCUGCAUCAGGUU